UACGAAGGGGGCUAGCGUUGUUCGGAAUCACUGGGCGUAAAGCGCACGUAGGCGGAUUGUUAAGUCGGGGGUGAAAUCCUGAGGCUCAACCUCAGAACUGCCUCCGAUACUGGCAGUCUCGAGUUCGGAAGAGGUUGGUGGAACAGCUAGUGUAGAGGUGAAAUUCGUAGAUAUUAGCUAGAACACCAGUGGCGAAGGCGGCCAACUGGUCCGACACUGACGCUGAGGUGCGAAAGCGUGGGGAGCAAACAGG
rnacentral:rRNA from 1 species